rnacentral:rRNA from 1 species
UAUCUCUGUAGAGUCUGCAUAUCAAUAAGCGGAGGAAAAGAAGCUAACUAGGAUUCCCUCAGUAACGGCGAGUGAAGCGGGAAGAGCUCAAAUUUGAAAUCUUCAAGGUUCUACCUUGACGAAUUGUAGUUUAAAGAAGUGUUUUCUGUUGGAGUUUUGGUAAAAGUUCUUUGGAAUAGGACAUCAUAGAGGGUGAGAAUCCCGUAUUUGACCAUUAUUUCCAGCUUUGUGAUACACUUUCAAAGAGUCGGAUUGUUUGGGAAUGCAGUCCAAAAUGGGUGGUAAAUUUCAUCUAAAGCUAAAUAUUGGCGAGAGACCGAUAGCGAACAAGUACCGUGAGGGAAAGAUGAAAAGAACUUUGAAAAGAGAGUUAAACAGUACGUGAAAUUGUCAAAAGGGAAGCGUUUGACACCAGUGUUGUUUUCUCGAAAAUCAAUUAAAAAAGUCGGAUUUUGUAUUGUAAUUGACCUUUAUCAGCUUUACUGCUACUCUUUUCUUGUCUUUUUUUAAUGCACUUUUCGUUUAACAAGUCAACAUCAAUUUCUUUUGUUGUAAAAGGGUCAUUGGAAGGUGGCUUUCUUUUCGGAGAAAGUGUUUAUAGCCUUUGGCCUCUGCAAUCGGAGAGAUUGAGGUCUGCAGCGUAGAUCCUUCGGGGUUAGAUACAUUUGUGCUAAGUUAUAGCCUUUCAUAGACAACUUGUUGACUAUGAUCAGUCAUGUAGCUUACUCGCUUAUGCUAUUUUACCUACGCUAGGAUGUUGAAGAUGUAGCACAUCAU